GUCAGGGACCCAAUCCCCUAGAAGGGGACGGGCUUGCAGAGGCCCUACCUGACCAGACUCAGUGCGUAAGCACUACGUUAGGAGCGAAAUUAGGUACGUCAGGGUGCGAGGCCAGCCUUGACCUCUACGGUUAGCAGUUAAACAUCUGUAACGGGUUAAGGAAGUGCUACUAACGCUAAACCGCUCCAUAACCUUGUCGAGGCCACCAUUAC
rfam:Ktedonobacter sp. 13_2_20CM_53_11 13_2_20cm_scaffold_1108, whole genome shotgun sequence.